rnacentral:rRNA from 1 species
GACGAACGCUGGCGGCGUGCUUAACACAUGCAAGUCGAACGAGAACGGGUUAUAGCUUGCUAUAAUUGUCAGCUAAGUGGCGCACGGGUGAGUAAUGUAUAGGUAAUAUGCCUCUUACUAAGGGAUAACAAAUGGAAACGUUUGCUAAUACCUUAUACUCCUUAUUAACAGAAGUUAAUAAGGGAAAGAUUUAUUGGUAAGAGAUUAGCCUGUAUUGUAUCAGUUAGUUGGUGGGGUAAUGGCUUACCAAGACUAUGACACAUAACUGGUUUGAGAGGAUGAUCAAUCACACUGGGACUGAGACACAGUCCAGACUCCUACGGGAGGCAGCAGUGGGGAAUAUUGCACAAUGGACGAAAGUCUGAUGCAGCAUCGCCGCGUGGAGGAUGACACAUUUCGGUGCGUAAACUCCUUUUAUAUGAGAAGAUAAUGACGGUAUUAUAUGAAUAAGCACCGGCUAACUCCGUGCCAGCCGCCGCCGUAA